UACUUAUAUAACAAGUCAUUCGUUUGGCCGACUUCCAGUUAUAUUGACAUUACACAUAUUUUAUAUUCAUAGAUAAGUAUACAAUGUGUUUAAAAUUAAGCAUAUCAAUUCUGUGAUGCAGCCAAUCUGACUAUCUAAACUAUCAUAUUAAAAAAAUGAAGAAAAAAAAAUCUGAGACAGCAAAUAUUCUCAGGUCUCUUUUGAAGUACUUC
rnacentral:lncRNA from 1 species